UACAGAGGGUGCGAGCGUUAAUCGGAAUUACUGGGCGUAAAGCGUGCGUAGGUGGUUGUGUAAGUUAGGUGUGAAAUUCCUGGGCUUAACCGAGGGACUGCGCCUAAUACUAUUCAGCUAGAGUAUUGUAGAGGAAAGCGGAAUUUCCGGUGUAGCGGUGAAAUGCGUAGAUAUCGGAAGGAACAUCAGUGGCGAAGGCGGCUUUCUGGACAAAUACUGACACUGAGGCACGAAAGCAUGGGGAGCAAACAGG
rnacentral:rRNA from 1 species